rnacentral:tRNA from 1 species
GCUUUGGUAGCUUAUAAAUUAGAGCAUAGCACUGAAGAUGCUAGGGAAGCGAUUCACGCUCCGAAGCA